CCUACGGGAGGCUGCAGUGGGGAAUAUUGGACAAUGGGCGAAAGCCUGAUCCAGCCAUGCCGCGUGUGUGAAGAAGGCCUUCGGGUUGUAAAGCACUUUCAGUGGGGAAGAAAGCCUUGGGGCUAAUACCCUCGAGGAAGGACAUCACCAACAGAAGAAGCACCGGCUAACUCCGUGCCAGCAGCCGCGGUAAUACGGAGGGUGCGAGCGUUAAUCGGAAUUACUGGGCGUAAAGCGCGCGUAGGCGGUCUGAUAAGCCGGUUGUGAAAGCCCCGGGCUCAACCUGGGAACGGCAUCCGGAACUGUCAGGCUAGAGUGCAGGAGAGGAAGGUAGAAUUCCCGGUGUAGCGGUGAAAUGCGUAGAGAUCGGGAGGAAUACCAGUGGCGAAGGCGGCCUUCUGGACUGACACUGACGCUGAGGUGCGAAAGCGUGGGUAGCAAACAGGAUUAGAUACCCCGGUAGUC
rnacentral:rRNA from 1 species